rnacentral:ncRNA from 12 species
UAUGCCCGUGUCUGUGGUUGAAAAUCCAGGCCAGUCGCGGGCAAAGGGAUCCACGUAAGCGAAUCUUUCAGCGAUUCGUGAGCAUGGCGCGGCUUAGAAGUAAGUCCUGUGAAAAAUACUAAAAAACACAUGUUCACAGGCGAGUGUGGGGGCAAAGACCAGGUCAGGCGGGCAUA